rnacentral:rRNA from 2 species
GGGCCCGCACAAGCAGUGGAUUAUGUGGUUUAAUUCGACGCAACGCGAAGAACCUUACCAGGGCUUGACAUCUAACUAACGAAGUAGAGAUACAUUAGGUGCCCUUCGGGGAAAGUUAAGACAGGUGGUGCAUGGUUGUCGUCAGCUCGUGUCGUGAGAUGUUGGGUUAAGUCCCGCAACGAGCGCAACCCCUAUUGUUAGUUGCUACGAGAGAGCACUCUAGCGAGACUGCCGUUGACAAAACGGAGGAAGGUGGGGACGACGUCAAAUCAUCAUGCCCCUUAUGUCCUGGGCUACACACGUAAUACAAUGGCGCAUUAACAGUGGGAAGCAAUGGCGCGAGCCGGAGCAAAUCCCCAAAAGGCGUCUCAGUUCGGAUUGCAGGCUGCAACUCGCCUGCAUGAAGUCGGAAUUGCUAGUAAUUGCGGAUCAGCAUGCCGCGGUGAAUACG